CCUACGCGUGGCAGCAGUGGGGAAUUUUGGACAAUGGGGGCAAGCGUAAUCCAGCAAUGCCGAUGCAGCAUGAAGGCCUUAGGGUUGUAAAAUGAAAUGUCGGAAUGAAGAGUAGGGUUAGUACCAAAGGAAUGACGUACGAAGAGAGCCGUCGCC
rnacentral:rRNA from 1 species